AUGAACGCUGGCGGCGUGCCUAAUACAUGCAAGUCGAGCGAACAGAUGAGGAGCUUGCUCCUCUGACGUUAGCGGCGGACGGGUGAGUAACACGUGGAUAACCUACCUAUAAGACUGGGAUAACUUCGGGAAACCGGAGCUAAUACCGGAUAAUAUAUUGAACCGCAUGGUUCAAUAGUGAAAGACGGUUUUGCUGUCACUUAUAGAUGGAUCCGCGCCGCAUUAGCUAGUUGGUAAGGUAACGGCUUACCAAGGCAACGAUGCGUAGCCGACCUGAGAGGGUGAUCGGCCACACUGGAACUGAGACACGGUCCAGACUCCUACGGGAGGCAGCAGUAGGGAAUCUUCCGCAAUGGGCGAAAGCCUGACGGAGCAACGCCGCGUGAGUGAUGAAGGUCUUCGGAUCGUAAAACUCUGUUAUUAGGGAAGAACAAAUGUGUAGUAACUAUGCACGUCUUGACGGUACCUAAUCAGAAAGCCACGGCUAACUACGUG
rnacentral:rRNA from 1 species